GACGAACGCUGGCGGCGUGCUUAACACAUGCAAGUCGAACGGAAAGGCCCUGCUCUUGUGGGGAGCUCGAGUGGCGAACAGGUGAGUAAAACGUGAGUAAAAUGCCCUUGACAUUGGGAUAACUUAAGGAAAAUGGGGCUAAUACAGGGCAGGAGCUCCUGAUGCAUAGUGGGGGUUGGAGAGUGUCGGCGGUUGGGGAUGGACGCGCGGCUUAUCAGCUUGUUGGUGGGGUAGUGGCGUACAAAUGCAUUGAGGGGUAGCCGGCCUGGGAGGGUGACAGGCCACAUUGGGACUGAGGUAGGACCCAGACUCCUACGGGGGGCAGCGGUGGGGAUCUUUGCGCGAUGGGCGGAAGCCUGAUGCAGCGACUCCGCGUGCGGAAUGACGGCUGUCGGGUAGUAACCCUCGUGCGCCUGUGACGAAGCGUGAGUGACGGUAAUGGGUAAAGAAGCACCGGCUAACUACGUG
rnacentral:rRNA from 1 species